CUUCUGCAUCCUCUUCAAUAAUGAAUUUGGCCGCUAAUGUGAUAAAUUCGUCGAACUCCAAUCGUCCUGAUUCUGAAAGCAAAAUAUAUUUAAAAUUUUAGGUUAGGUUUUGUACUUCAGAUAGAAAUAAUCUGUUUUAUAUAUAUAAGUUAACAGUUCUUGUUAUUGUCAUUAACCCAAGCCAAUUACGUCACUUUUAACUGAACAUAUUCCUUUGGCUUGUCCGUGAUCGGUGAUUGUAGGACCUCGAUAACGUAAUUCUGGAUUGUUUGGGAUUAUAUGUGAUUGACUGGAACCAAAAUUAUUAAUUAUAACCAGUAGUAUUACAGUUUAUAAGAGAGAAAGUGAGAGUUCCAACCAUGUUUAUGUAAUUCAGUAAUCAUUAUUUUGAAUAGUUUGAAUGAAAGUGGAGUAGGGAAACCUCCAGCCGUUUGCAGUUAGUACCCGCAGGCCGUGCACUCACCUUUGUGUAGGUCACCCAUCACUACAAUCAUACACUGUGAAGUGGUCAGGAAUUUGACGCUAUCCAAAAUAAAAUUGUACUUGGAAGGUGUAUUUACCCACGCUGGAGGGACUGAGGAAAACCAUGAAACCCCCUCAGUCAGGAUGGCCAAUCUCCAAGUUGAGUGUGUGUGUGUGUGUACAUGCCUAAUAUAUAUAUGUGUCUGUGGUCCCACUUUUUAAAAUUUGAAGAUAAUAUAAAACUGGUCUUUCAACUAAACACUACCAAUUCUUACGUUCGAGGAUUACAUUGAAAAUCACACUCAUUUGUUUUAAUCGCUGUGUUGCCUGCAUUCACCUCAUGACUGUAAGUACUCUUUAUUCUUGUAUCUGUAAUUCACUACAAAUAUAUAUAUAUUAAUACAUAAGUCUAUGUUA